rnacentral:rRNA from 1 species
AUUGAACGCUGGCGGCAUGCCUUACACAUGCAAGUCGAACGGUAACGGGCCUUCGGGUGCCGACGAGUGGCGAACGGGUGAGUAAUACAUCGGAACGUGCCCGAUCGUGGGGGAUAACGCGGCGAAAGCUUUGCUAAUACCGCAUACGUUCUACGGAUGAAAGCAGGGGACCGCAAGGCCUUGCGCGGACGGUGCGGCCGAUGGCAGAUUAGGUAGUUGGUGGGAUAAAAGCUUACCAAGCCGACGAUCUGUAGCUGGUCUGAGAGGAUGAUCAGCCACACUGGGACUGAGACACGGCCCAGACUCCUACGGGAGGCAGCAGUGGGGAAUUUUGGACAAUGGGCGCAAGCCUGAUCCAGCCAUGCCGCGUGCAGGAUGAAGGCCUUCGGGUUGUAAACUGCUUUUGUACGGAACGAAAAGCCUUCUUUUAAUACAGGAGGGUCAUGACGGUACCGUAAGAAUAAGCACCGGCUAACUACGUG